rnacentral:rRNA from 1 species
GACGAACGCUGGCGGCGGGCUUAAUACAUGCAAGCCGAACGCUAAGUCGUUUCUCAUUACGGGAGACAGCGUGCCGAACGGGUGGGUACCAGGAGGCUACCCAGCCUUUGCAUUAGGGUUAACUUCAGGAACCAGGGUCAAAUCCCGGUAAGGAGCUCCAGCUGCAUGGUUGGGCUAGGAAAGUCUCGGCGGUUGGUGAUGGACUCGCGGCUUAUCAGAUCGAUGGUGGGGUAGUGGCUGACCACGGGUUUGACGGGUAGCCGGCCUGAGAGGGUGACCGGCCACAGGGGGACUGAGCUACGGCCGAGACUCCUAAGGGAGGCAGCAGUGGGGAAUAAUGCAUGAUGGGCGGAAGCCGGAUGCAGCAACGCCGCGUGCGAGAUGACGACCUGCUGUUUGUAGACCGCAUUCGCCUGUGACGAAGCGUGAGUGACGGUAAUUGGUAAAGAAGCACCGGCUAACUACGUG